CCUACGGGAGGCAGCAGUGGGGAAUAUUGCACAAUGGGGGGAACCCUGAUGCAGCAACGCCGCGUGGGUGAAGAAGUACUCCGGUAUGUAAAGCCCUGUCAGCAGGGAAGAAAAUGACGGUACCUGACCAAGAAGCCCCGGCUAACUACGUGCCAGCAGCCGCGGUAAUACGUAGGGGGCAAGCGUUAUUCGGAUUUACGGGGUGUAAAGGGAGCGUAAACGGGAAGGCAAGUUUGGAGGGAAAGCCGGUGGGCCAACCACGGGACUGCUUUGGAAACUGGGUUGCUGGAGUGCAGGAGGGGUAAGCGGAAUUCCUAGUGUAGCGGUGAAAUGCGUAGAUAUUAGGAGGAACACCGGUGGCGAAGGCGGCUUACUGGACUGUAACUGACGUUGAGGCUCGAAGGCGUGGGGAGCGAACAGGAUUAGAUACCCCUGUAGUC
rnacentral:rRNA from 1 species